rnacentral:hammerhead_ribozyme from 1 species
GCCAGCUGAUGAAUCCGAAAUAAGACGAAACGCGCGUCCUUGAU